UGUCAAAACCGAUUGAGUUCACAAUGGCCUU
rnacentral:piRNA from 1 species